rnacentral:ncRNA from 2 species
GGGGAAGCCGGUGCAAUUCCGGCGCUGACCCGCAGCCGUGAGCCGCCCGGGGCGGUGAGCCGGAUCGCCC